UGACCUCGGAUCAGGUAGGGAUACCCGCUGAACUUCAA
rnacentral:rRNA from 1 species